AGUGAACGCUGGCGGUAGGCCUAACACAUGCAAGUCGAACGGCAGCACAGUAAGAGCUUGCUCUUACGGGUGGCGAGUGGCGGACGGGUGAGGAAUACAUCGGAAUCUACUUUUUCGUGGGGGAUAACGUAGGGAAACUUACGCUAAUACCGCAUACGACCUACGGGUGAAAGCAGGGGAUCUUCGGACCUUGCGCGAUUGAAUGAGCCGAUGUCGGAUUAGCUAGUUGGCGGGGUAAAGGCCCACCAAGGCGACGAUCCGUAGCUGGUCUGAGAGGAUGAUCAGCCACACUGGAACUGAGACACGGUCCAGACUCCUACGGGAGGCAGCAGUGGGGAAUAUUGGACAAUGGGCGCAAGCCUGAUCCGGCCAUACCGCGUGGGUGAAGAAGGCCUUCGGGUUGUAAAGCCCUUUUGUUGGGAAAGAAAAGCAGCAGGUUAAUACCCCGCUGUUCUGACGGUACCCAAAGACUAAGCACCGGCUAACUUCGUG
rnacentral:rRNA from 1 species